rnacentral:rRNA from 1 species
UACGUAGGGGGCAAGCGGUUGUCCGGAAUUAUUGGGCGUAAAGAGCGCGUAGGCGGUCCGAUAAGUCGGCUGUGAAAGUCAGGGGCUCAAACCCUUGGAAGGCCGGCCCGAUACUGUCGGACUAGAGUCCGGAAGAGGCGAGUGGGAAUUCCCGGUGUAGCGGUGAAAUGCGCAGAUAUCGGGAGGAACACCAAUGGCGAAGGCAGCUCGCUGGGACGGUACUGACGCUGAGGCGCGAAAGCCGUGGGGGAGCAAACAGG